UACGGGGGGGGCAAGCGUUGUUCGGAAUUACUGGGCGUAAAGGGCUCGUAGGCGGCCAACUAAGUCAGACGUGAAAUCCCCAGGCUUAACCUGGGAACUGCGUCUGAUACUGGAUGGCUUGAAUUCGGGAGAGGGAUGCAGAAUUCCAGGUGUAGCGGUGAAAUGCGUAGAUAUCUGGAGGAAUACCGGUGGCGAAGGCGGCAUCCUGGACCGAGAUUGACGCUGAGGAGCGAAAGCAUGGGGAGCGAACAGG
rnacentral:rRNA from 1 species